rnacentral:misc_RNA from 1 species
GAAAAAGAAAAAGAAAAGAAAAAUGAAAAUGACAUCACUCACAUGACCUCACACGUCAUAAUUAGAUUUUACUUAAAUAAAAUUUGACCAAGUCAAUUUAAGACAUAAAAACCAAAAAUUGGAAAAAAAAAUAAAUUUGUUAUCUUCUUCUCACAACCCUUGCUGUCUCCACUCUCCUCCCUCUCUCUUUAAAACCUCCAUUAAAAUACUCUAUUAAAGCUUGGUCUCAAGCUUUUAAUCCAUACAUUUAACACUAAUUUCCUCAAAAAUUCCCCAUAAACCUUGCUAAUUCCACUAUAAAAGAAGAUUGAAGAAACAAAGUAAGGAAGAAAAGUGAAGAUUUGGAGAAUUAGAAAUUAAAGUUGAGGUUAGUAAGUAAACUUGAAUUUUGUUGUUUAAUUUCUAUGUUUUUAGUUAAGUUAACUUAUAAUUUAACUUAAAUUCAAACAAAAACCAUUAUCGGGGACUAAAUAAAAAAUUCGGCCAGCAAUAGGGAGAAAUGGAAUUGCAUGAAUUUGAUGGAAUUAAAGUGUUAAUUUAGUUGAAUUAAGCAUGUAAACAUGAUCUAUGCACUUUAAUUUCAUUAGAUUACACAAUUGAGGAAUUAGGGUUCUUGAACUUUGAAAUUUGGGGGAAAAAUUGGAGGAAAUGGUCAAUUGAUGCAAAUGACCUUAAUUGAGGUUUGAAAUA